CCUACGGGGGGCAGCAGUGAGGAAUAUUGGUCAAUGGGAGCGAGCCUGAACCAGCCAAGCAGCGUGAAGGAUGACGGCCCUACGGGUUGUAAACCUCUUUUAUAAAGGAAUAAAGUGAGGCACGUGUGCCGUUUUGUAUGUACUUGAAGAAUAAGGAUCGGCUAACUCCGUGCCAGCAGCCGCGGUAAUACGGAGGAUGCGAGCGUUAUCCGGAUUUAUUGGGUUUAAAGGGAGCGUAGAUGGGUUGUUAAGUCAGUUGUGAAAGUUUGCGGCUCAACCGUAAAAGUGCCAUUGAUACUGGCAGUCUUGAGUACAGUUGAGGUAGGCGGAAUUCGUGGUGUAGCGGUGAAAUGCUUAGAUAUCACGAAGAACUCCGAUUGCGAAGGCAGCUUACUAAACUGCCACUGACAUUGAUGCUCGAAAGUGUGGGAAUCAAACAGGAUUAGAUACCCUGGUAGUC
rnacentral:rRNA from 1 species